CACCUUUCCUCCUUACCUAGAGAAUGGUAACAAUAUCGGACCACUCUUCUUCCCCAUCUCUCCGAAGGAUCCUGGGGAUACGGACAGCUGUGAGUCCCCAGGCUAUCACCGCUCCCUCCAGAGAUCAGCUCCAGGAUGACCACAGCUGCCCAGCCUUCCUUCCAAGGUGCAACGGGGUCUUGGCCCAUCUGGCCAGGCCCGCGACGGUGGUGUCAGGCCUGGGCACGUGAGGUCUAAGCCGCGCAAGGACAGCGACUUCAGCCUCACGCCCUUCCUGUCUCCCUGACCAUUCUGCUCGCUCCCCCGGGGCCUCCCUGGACACACCGCGCAGUUUGCAGCCAGGCCCUCAGCACCUGCCCUUUCUUCAGUUCUCCCCAAGUAGGUACCCCGUUCAGAUGACCCCUUCUCAGAGUUUCUCUGACCAUGCUGUCAUCACAUCCCCUGAGCCUCAAAAGGUGCCCAGCAGGAAGUGGGCAUCUGAUUAUUAUUAUUUUUUUUGUAUCUGGGAUCGAACUCAGGACCUUGCACUUGUGAGGCAGGCAGCGGCACCUGAGCUACAUCCCUGGCCCUAGUAGGUAUCUAAUGAACAUUCUCCGAAUGAAUAUGGGCUAUGAUAUAUGGGGGUGUCUGGAAAAGCAGACUGAGGGACCCAGGAGCAUGAGGCUGCAG
rnacentral:lncRNA from 1 species